CUGAAACGAAGGGACAGCGUGCUUCCGUGAAAUUCUGUUUUCUGCUGGGGGAAACGGUGGCCGAAACAACUGCCAUACUUGAAACAGCUUACAAAGAAGCUACCAUGAGCAAAACACAAGUUUACGAAUGGUUUUCACACUUUAGAAAUGGUCACUUAUCGCUGGAAGACCAACCUCGUUCAGGACGACCUCCCAAACGAGUGAAAGCAUCAGGAAAAUUCAUGAACUGAUCUUGGAAGACAGUCACCGAGCAAUUGACGAACUUGUUGAUAUGAUUGGUGUGCCCUGAAGAUCCCGCCAAUGAAUUUUGAGCGAGGAAUGAAAAGAGCUGCAGCAAAAUGUGUGCCUCACUUGCUCACGGAAGAUCAAAAGCAGUCAUGACUGAAUGCAUGUUGGAAAUUGAUCUGGACCUUUUUUCGAACGCCAUCACAGGUAACGAAAGCUGGUGCUACGGUAUUUGCAGAUGUGGAAGAGAUAUACAAAAAACAAUGG